GGUGGGUUCAUCAAGGACAGAUGUUUGCUACUUCUGCCCCUACCUCGUUCUACCAAGCUUGGCGUUGCUAAGUUCACUGGGACCUUCCCAGGCAUCAGCUGAGCGGGGCCAACUGAGCGCUAAGCCUACACUGGAGAAAACGACUAGGCUCUCAGGAGCGUGGAGAAGGGCAUUUACUACAGCCCAGGGGCUGGCCUGGGCUGACUGAUGUCAGAACUAUCCCACGGUGGCCGUUUUGUGGUGUUUGGACAAAGCGAGUGCUGGCAGUGGGUCCAAACGCCCCGCCUCCUAAACUGUAGCUUUGGAGCCAAGCGCUGCUGGAUUUCGAUCAACUUGCAGCUGCUGGGGCAAGACCCAACGUUUUCUUUGGACUCAUCUUCAUCACAAGGAGUAGAACUUGAACGAGUUCGAUUCCAAAGAUUAUAAACCGCUAGAGGAGAAGGGCCGAGGCACUUCGGUUGGGACAUCCUCGGCAUUCAACUCCAAGUCUGGCGCAGAAUAAGCUCUUAUUAAAUGCUCAGGAAUGGAACAAAUAAAAAUGAGUGAAUAAAUUGAAAUGGGAAAGCUG
rnacentral:lncRNA from 1 species